rnacentral:rRNA from 1 species
AGAGUCCUGAAGGAACGUUGAAGACGACGACGUUGAUAGGCCGGGUGUGUAAGCGCAGCGAUGCGUUGAGCUAACCGGUACUAAUGAACCGUGAGGCUUAACCUUACAACGCCGAAGCUGUU